rnacentral:rRNA from 1 species
CCUACGGGAGGCAGCAGUGGGGAAUAUUGGGCAAUGGGCGCAAGCCUGACCCAGCAACGCCGCGUGAAGGAAGAAGGUUUUCGGGUUGUAAACUUCUUUUACGAGGGAAGAGCAGACGACGGUACCUCUUGAAUAAGCCACGGCUAACUACGUGCCAGAGGCCGCGGUAAUACGUAGGUGGCAAGCGUUGUCCGGCUUUACUGGGUGUCAAGGGCGUGCAGCCGGGAAGACAAGUCAGAUGUGAAAUCCCGCGGCUCAACCGCGGAACCGCAUUUGAAACUGGUUUUCUUGAGUACCGGAGAGGACAGCGGAAUUCCUGGUGUAGCGGUGAAAUGCGUAGAUAUAAGGAAGAACACCAGUGGCGAAGGCGGAUAACUGGACGACAACUGACGGUGAGGCGCGAAAGCGUGGGGAGCAAACAGGAUUAGAUACCCGUGUAGUC